AAUGGAGACAUCACCAAUUCUUGUUGUAUUAUAAUUGGCUUUAGGCUGUGAUGUGUAAAGAAGGCAUACAAGUGACAGCCACUGAUUUCUGCUAAGAGAAUCUCCCACAAACAUUAUGCUUUUUCCUUUGAAUUUCUUUAAAAAUGCUCCUCCAUCAAAUCUUGUUAAGGAACAACCAUGAGGCUUCCAUCUAUAUUUAAG
rnacentral:misc_RNA from 1 species